CUAUUCAGUGAAGAAUUAUUCCUACAGAAUGAGUUCCGAGCUAGUUAUAAAAUGUGAUACUUGUGGGUCAAAUGAAUUUGCAUUAUUUACAUGUAGUAAAGGAGGUCUUCGUGACUGACAACAGAUCAGUUUAUCCACCUGGGUAUGGAAAGACUGUGUUCAACGCUUGAACAGCAGCACGACAGGAACUUCCUUUGCACACCACUUCAGGCUUUGUGUUACAAUGAGCCCUUCUGAAAAAGUUGUGACUGGUAAGGUUUUUCUUUAGGAGGAAAAUAGGUUAUUGGCUAGUCCUACAAUUCUUAACAGUUGAGUUCCUCACUUAAAGGAGCAACUUUAAAGCUGUUGUGUGGCCUCCUAAUCCUGGGAUUAGUGGGAAUUUGCACCAGGUUCAGCUCACUGCUAUGACCUUUGGGUAGUGAAGUGGGGCAGUGGUUUGUUUUCUCCUUCUAGCCUGACCUUGUUAUUUGAAGUAGUCUUUCUGAUGAACUUCUGGUUGUUUUGGAGAGCAGUAUUAAACUCUGUGUAAUUACUUUCAUAAGUGAGGUAGUGCUCAGACCCAAUUAUAAUGCAGCACAAGCCCUAUCAGUAACAAAUUGAUGAAGAUGCUGAAAAUAACCAAUGAUUCCUGAGUAAUAUAAGAUUUUGAGGAUCUCUAGGAAGAAAAUGGGGAGAAAUACUGCCAUUUUUGGAGACUUGGGCUGUGUUAGAGUUGGGGAAGUUACUGAAUUGUGGGCUCCAGCAUCCCAGAAGUGCAGCUGAAGGUGCUCCUGUCACAGAAGGUGUUUGUGCUCCUUGUAAGCUUAGAAACUAAGCAAAUCUUAGCUACUAUAUUUGUGUGCUUAUUAAGUGUUGCACAAAAGAGGUCCCUUAUCUCUGCUGAAAAUUCUUGUUGUGACUGCUCUGUCUGCAAGCUUGUUAAUAUUGCAUGGUCAUGCAGUGGAUAUUACUCAAAAGUAGAAAUGCAACUUGAUUGCAGCAGUAUAUUGUGUCUCUUCAAAGGUUUAGCUUUUGAGGAGUGCUGUAGUCCUACUCAGUGUGGUCUGUUAGGGCUCAGAGAGUUUCAGAAGUACUCAACAGGAUGAGAGAGCUGGGGUUUUUGAACAUGGAGAAGAAAAGGCUUUUGGGGAGACCUCAUUGCAGCCUUCCUGUAUUUAAAGGAGGCUUAGGAAAAAUAGAGUGACUUUUUGCAUGGGCAGAUAGUGAUAGGACAAGGGGAAAUGCAUUUAAACUAAAAGAUGAUAUACUUAGAUUGGGUGUUAGGAAGAGAUUCUUAGAGGGUUGUGAGGCACUGGAAUAGGUUGUCUGAAGAAGUUGUGGAUACCCCAUCCCUGAAGGUGCUUAAGGGUAGAUUGGAUGGGGCCCUGAACAAGGUGGUCUAGUGGAAGAUGUCCCUGCCCAUGGCAGUGGCGUAGGAACUAUAUGAUCUUGAAGUUCCCUUCCAACCCAAACCAUUCUAUGAUUAACUUGCAGUUAAUG